GCGUAAGAGUGUUUAAGAAGGAGGAUGAAAGAAUCUAGGACCAGGUGAAACGACGUAAAAUUUCCAAGAGGCGUGCUGCUGUGAGUUGUUGGACCUCGUCUUCCUGGACAGCAUG